GCCGCCUUAGCUCAGCCGGUCAGAGCAGCUGUCUUGUAAACAGCAGGUCGUCGGUUCGAAUCCGACAGGCGGCU
rnacentral:tRNA from 1 species